UGCUCACAGUCACCAUCUGAGGAAGGACCGGGGGCAAAGGUAGGGUGCUGAGGCCCUGUCUGGCUUUGCCUUUCCUCAGCAGGGAGCCUCUUCCAGGAAUCCCCCCACCCCUGGCCUGGGCCUGCUGGUGAUACUGCGAACACCCAUGUGGCUGUCCACACGGACACCUGCAGUUGGCCCUUCUGCACAGUGGACGCUGGCCUGAGCUCCAGGCCUGGGCAUCACUGCUUGUCCCAAGGCUGGGAACGCUGCAAUUGGAGCAGGUCUCACAGCCCUGGCAGAGGCAGCUCUAUGCACAGCCUGUGAAGGAGACAGCUACCAUCGGCACUCCCCAGCACCCUGGGAGGCUGCUGACCUGCACCUGGUGGACAGGGGUCUUCAUCGACUCCCCCCACCCCCAAGGAGCUCCUGCCUAUUUGAGAAGACCAACCCAGCCUGCUGAGUCCAGGGGAGGGGCAGAGCUGGGAGAGAACUGUGCAGAGAUUUAUGGGCAAUAAAGGAACAUCCAUCUCAGGGCGGGAAGAGGCGCGUCAGCCGGGCAGCCCCCUCCUCACACCAGAGCACUCCAGUUGCAUUAAUGAUGCCGCCAAGGCUUUGCAGAGCUGCUGACAGAGGAGAGAAGAAAACGUGGGCAAUUAGAGAAGGAUGAAGACCUCGCAGGGCGAACUCUACACCCAGCUGCCAGCUAGGCUACCCUGUGAGGAUCUGGGGACACCGAACUGAGCCAGCCAUCUGGGGCCCGGGUUCUGGGGCAAGGCCCAGCCACUGUCUGAUGGUUACCUCACAAUUAUUUUUGAAAAAUGAUGGAGGAGGGAGGGGAGGGGAGGGCAGAGAUAAGAGGGCGGAACUUGUGCCCCUGGCCGAGCUGUGGGUUUCUGGGCGGCCGUUGGCACGCUGCUAGGCAGAGGGUGUAAGAGGUUUGGGUCUCAGGCGCUCAGGGACUCUGCUUAGGUGCCCUCCCUAGGGCUGCAGCUUCAUCUUGAGGCUUUCUGGCCAGCCCGCCCCGGCUCCCAUGCCGUCCUCUCUGCCCAUCUUGCUGCUGUUACCUGUCAGCCUGAUUACAGCUGCACCCUCCCUCUGCUUCCUCUAACUAUCAUGCAAGCUUGUGGUCUGUCCAUCUGUCCACCUGCCGUCUAUUCCAUUGACUAGCCCUUCCCUGUUUCUCCCUCAAAGGCUCCGCUCUCACGGAGUGGCCACGGCCUUCAUGCCAUCUCAUCCCCAGCCAGUACCUUCCAGGACCCUGUCUUUCCCAGUUCCACACAAGAAACCCUCCAGACCUGUAGAGGGACAAGUUGGCCCUAGGUCCUCGACCACAGUAGGGACUCCAGCCUAGGGAGUUGUGCUGCGGGCCCUCCGCCACCCUCCAGAAAGCCUUUGAGAGUGACUCCUUGGACCCCUCUUGACCCCACCACUGGGUUGGCAUCUGAAUGAGGUCCACGGAUGGUGCCACUCCCCCUGCCCGGGUGAGUCAGGGCAGCUGCACUUGGGGGUUGGACGAGAGGAGAGAAGUUGCACGCAGCCCACUCCCCGAACUCAGGCCAGCAGCUGACUGCGGCUGUCAGCACCUCUGUGGGGUUACUCUGUACAGGCUAAUCUCAGGGAGCAAACACCUUAAAUUCAGCACUACCCAGCAGGAGUGGGCCACGCCUAGUGUACCUGCCACUUACCACUGAGGCAGCCUGGCACCUCGGCCAGCCCGGAGGAGUCAAUGCAAAUACCACCCGGAGUCACCAUCACCACCCCUCACCCCUCCACCAAGGGACUUAAGGGGUCCUUCACUAACCCACUUGUAUACCCACAGGUACAGCCCCCGCCCCCAGCCAGCAGAAGGACAGAAACACAGCCGGCUUAGAGGCCACAGGGACAGACAGACAACUGUGAGGGGAAGCAGACUAGCAAAGCUCCCUCCCUGGAGUUGCUGCACUUAGCGGACACAGACCCCCCCCCCCAUCCCCUCCCGGGCUGGUAAAGUGAGGGUUGCCCUACUCCAGUCUCAGUUCUGAGAACUGAACCUGAAGGCAAGGCUCACAAGGCCAGGGUGCUGGGACUGGGUAGUCUUCGAGUCUAGGCCAGCACUGGAGAGGCUCCAAGAGGUAGAUCAGGCAGAGAGCACCUUCUGCGUUCUAGGGAGCAAAUGGUGAGCCAUUCACUCUCAGCCCAGUGGGCCUUUGGUGAGGGAAACAGAGCAAGACCUGCCCGUAAAGCAGGUCGAAAGGCAGGAUCCUGCAUGCUCAUGGCUCAGGGUCUGGGGUCCUGGAUUUCCUUGCCCAGCAACUGUGCCAGACUGCCAAGAAGCUGUGCCAGCCAUCAUAGCACAGCUAUGAUGUGCUUCCUGCCUCCCACUGGCCCUGGCUCACCAUAUAUGAAGCAAGAGCAGCUCAGAGAUGCAGGACUUGCCUUACAAAGCCAAUGGAAGCAGUGAUACUAAAGAGGACGUCUCGUGGGACCUGGGGACAGGUCUGCAUCAACACGGGGGAAGAGGACAACCUGAGGCUGGCCAGCAUGAAGAAGAGUGAAGGAAGAAGGGCUCAGGACCCUGAUCCUGUCACCCUGGUCCCUGGCACCUCCCUACUUUACCAUGAGAGUGCACGGAGCUUUGUGAGGCCCAAACAGGAAAUGGAGCAACGCCCCCACCUGUCAGUUCCACAGCUUUAGGUGGACAAAGCCAGGGUGGGAGUGCCUAGAACCAUCUGGAAGGUUCCACCCAUCCUCCCCUGAGCCUUCAUGGCACCUGGACCUUCACCAAUGCCAUCUUGUCUUCCAUAUCCUCCUGCUUGGCUGUCCCCCACUACAGGGACCCCAAGCGUUGCUGGACUUCACCCCAAGGAAAGGGGCUCAGCCCCGCAGUCCCUCACCUCCUUAGGGCGGCCCAGGCUCCAGACCCAGCUACGGACUCUGGGACUAGGGGGAGCUGAGCUUACUUCUGGAGUGAGGUGGCCCAAGGGUGAUGUGUAGAGAAAGGGUGUUACUUUAGGAGUGGGCCCAGUUCACUGACAGACCCUGCAACAGGGCAUGCAUGGGGGUGCAGACCCGCCUUCUGAAGCCUGCGGAGGUGGCACCUCCUGGGAGGGGGUCGCCUCUGUGUGGGGCUGCCCACUGUGAGGACCUCCUUGGUGGACCCCCACAACCCAUGAAGUCUCCUUUCGCUGGCCUCGGGUCCCAGCCACCCUCUUCCUUCCGUUCCAGCUUGUGUGUGUCUCAGGGUCAGCAGCACCUAGCAGAACGUCCUGCCUGUGCUUCCUCCUGGAACCCAGGCUGGAGGCUGUGACCACCCGUCCACUGAGGGAGGAAGCCCCAGCUCUGGCUCUGUCGUAUGCCUGGCAGAUAACACAAGGAGACUCUUCCCAGCACCCAGGACACCACCAGGCUCUUACCCACAGACCUGACCCCUGAUGGGAGCAGCGGAAGCCUCCGCCCCUUAGACUCCGCUGUCCAUAGGUGCUCCUAACUUUGGCUCUUGUCUCUGCUCACCCCCACUGCCUCUUCUGCAGUUGCUUCAGUCUAGACAGGCCCAGGCAUGCACCCAAUGGUUAGACCUUCACAUGGGCCCUCAGUAGCCGCCUGUGGAAUUUGUCAUGUCCUCCAGGAACCCACUUCCCAGAAGCUGACUGUUUGCUAGCACCGUAGGGAACCUGGGCCCAGGCCAGAUGUUAAUCCAUAGGGAAGGGGAAUCCACAGGGUCCUAGGGUCUGGCCUGGUUGUUGAGACCCCGCAGCCUGCUUCCUGGGACCCAUGCCAGAUCCUCAGACCCUAGGGACCAGCUCCAGGGGGGAAAGGUUCUGGGGUCAGGCAAUGACUGAGCAGUUCCCCCCCCCCCAUCCACUUCACUAUCAUACAUCUCCAGAUAGUUCCAGAGGCCUGAAUUGGCAGAAGAGAAGAUUAGUCACUGAGAGAGAUCUGUUUUGAAGUCUCCUUUCUAGGCCCCAAGCUGCAGGCUAUAUAUGUCCCUCCUCUGCACACUAGGCCCGAAAGAGAGUGAAAUGCACCUGUAAUUGGGGUUUGUGAGUUGAGGAACUCCCAGGUCUCGCCUGGGACAUCACAUACAGCACCCAACCCCAAAUCUCUAUGUGGUAAAUUUGUGCCUUAGACCCACAUGGUUGCCUGCACUGUGGCGGAGCCUUCAUGAUCUGCCUGCAUGGAUGCCUGCACUGUGGCAGAGCCUUCAUGAUCUGCCUGCAUGGGUCCUCACUUCCACUCCCCCAUGUACUUCUCAGAACCCGAGGUGGGCCCGGCUUCCAGUGCACACUUCGGGUGCCUCUGAUGUUGCUGGGUGGCAAGCUGAGUUCUGCAUCCAGCAUGCCUGCAGGUGGACUUCCUGGGCCACCUCUCUUUGUCUCCACUGGGCAAUGCUGUGAAACCCAAGCUGUGCGUAACCUUCCUGGACCCAAGAAUUCCCUGUGUCAUAGGCCCAGCACGCCCUGCCCCCACAGCUACCCUCCUAAUUGGGCAUUCUCCCUGACAGAGUGCCACGCGGCUGUCUUGUUCUCAUUCUCAUUCUGUUGACGUUGGCACAAUCUUCUCUUUGAAUCCUAGCGGUUAUAGAGAAGCUGGAGCAGCUGAAAUAGCUCCCAGCCCCUGGGGGCCCUCCAGUAGGUACAGUAAGGAUUGCUCCUGGGCAGAUGGGGAUGGCAGAUGGAUAUGGCCACACUAGCUCAGGCCAAGGCUUGGCCAGACCCUGCAGUUCCCCAGACUCGGAGUCCAGCCCCAGCUAGGCAACAUGGGACUAAGCCAGUGUGUGUUGUCAGUGGACUGGGCCAGUCUGGGUGGCGGGAUCAGAAGGGCCCAGAUAACCUACCUUCGGAAGCUGCAGGACUCCAAAGGGUUUCCUGACCCAGAACUAUCUCCUCUCAGCUCCACCCACCUGGUCCACACAGUCUGGUUCCCUGUUAACAUGAGUCCAGCCCGCUAAGCCAGUGCCCUGGGUGGCUUCUAUGCUGGGUACCAUUGGAACACAGGCUUCAGACAAACUGAGCAGUACUCAGAGAGACUGUCAAGGCCAAGAGGAGAGGCGUAGUCCAGAUAGACAGGUGCAUCUGGCUGGCCAUCUGCUCCUGGCAUUCUUGAUGGUCAUGUCCCCUCUUUGAGACUUAGUUCUUACCCUUUCAACAUGAGGUAAUAGUGACAACCUCAGUGAAACCAGCAAGGAUGGAGGCUCCAGGUUGAGAAACUCCUAUACUUGCUUAGGCCCUGAGACCCUGUCUCCACGGUGCCAGGAGACUGGGCUCUAGUCACAAUCUAUAAAGGCCAGGACCAGGGCCAGGCACAUGCUAUGUUUGGGCAAUUCUAGCACCUGCCUCCUGUUGCCAAGAUUCCCAUCUCUUGGGGCUGAGAUUUCAACGGUUUUUAAAGAUCAUUUAUUUGUGUGUGUGUCUGUGUGUGUAUCUCUCUCUCUCUCUCUCUCUCUCUCUCUCUCUCUCUCUCUCUCUCUCUCUCUCUGUAUGUGUACACAUAAAUAUAGGUAGCCAAGGAUGCCAGAAGUUACAGGUAGUUCUAAACCAUGUGAUGUGGAUGCUGGGACCUGAACCCAUGCUCCCUGGGAGAGCAGUACACAAAUCACUAAACCAUCUAACCAUCCCGAUUUCAACACACUUGAUAUAUUUUGGGGUUCCCCCAGCAUGUGCCCCCUGGCCAAGCCUAAUUAUUACCUAGACCCCUUCAUAUAUGACUUCCUUCUGUUACCAAGCAGCCUGUCCUAAACCCAGCCUGGACUCCAUCAACCCAGGACCCUCACCCAAGCAUAGCUCCUGGUUGGGGUUCCUAUGAUGGGUCCCAGUCUCUAGGACCCCAGCUUCUUUCAUGAAUACCUGGCUGCUUAAGAAGGCAUUCCUCUGACAUGCUAGUUCCAGAAAGCAACCUUGUGCUAGAAUUUAUUGUCCUCUCCAGAUGCUGCUGGCCUUCACCUCUGAGUCCAUGAAGAUGGGUAAAAAGACGGACCCCACUUUGCAACCUCCCAUCUACAGGGACAUAGGUCAGUUUCAUCCCUGUUGUGGUCUGAUGAGGAAACCACCCUAAGGCUUAGGAGAUUCAGCAGCCUUGGCCUUCUUCUCUGGCAGUAUACAGCCUGACCUUGGGGUCCCUGUUAUCAGAAUGCUCCGGCAGCAGAAUCUCUGCAGCCCCAGCUCAAAGCUCUUUUCUACUGUGUGAUGAUUACCACCACUUACAUUAGAAUUAGAAGCUGCUGCUGCUGCUGAGACUGGCAAACCCCAGCCUACUGGACAGUACCUAAGCUGUAGACUUCAGAGGAGUGCAGGCCUAGCCUGGAGAAGUAGCCACAUCAAGUCAGACUCUGGAAGUGGGCAGUGACCCCAUGCUGGCCCACAACAUGGUGAGAAAGUUCAGAAACAAGGCUCCUGUCCAAGAGUUGAGACCCCUGCUGGGAUUAGGACAAAAAUCAUCCAGAAAUAGUCAUCCUGGUGAUGGGCACCUUGUGAUGUGGCAGGAGGGGACCAGCUGUGGUCAUCAGAAGCAUCUACAAGGGAUUUGGGGCUUGUAGAGGGGACAGCUGCACCACCAGGGACUCUCAGAAGUCCAGCCAUCCUCUUCCUCACCCCUGUGGGCCUCCUGGGGAUAAGACACGUGUGCAGAGGGAAGAUGUCAGGCCAGGGAGCCACGGCAGCCCUGCCUGCCUGGCAGACUCUACUUCUCCCAUCAAAGCAGGGACCUGAAUUCUUUUUACCAGAAAGUGGGGUCUUGAGGCAAUGAGUAGCUGAAGGCCCUGAUUUUGUCCUUCCAACCUCCAGGCUCAGGCCCCAUAAUGGCCUGGUCAGGACUUCAUAAUGGCCUGGUCAGGACUUCUAGAUCAGUGGUUCUCAACUUUCCUAACUCCGCGACCCUUUAACACAGUUCCUCAUGUGGUGACCCAACCAUAAAAUUAUUUUCAUCGCUACUUCAUAACUGUAAUUUUGCUACCGUUAUGAAUCAUAAUGUAAAUAUCUGUGUUUUCUGAUGGUCUUAGGCAACCCCUGUGAAGAGACCAUUCAACCUCUGGUUGAGAACCGCUGUUCUGGGUGGUAUGGUGGCUGGGAGGGUUCUCAGUGGUGGGAGUUCGCAGAGAAUCUCUGACCAGUUCCUCAGGUGCCACAGUGUGUGUGUAGUCAGAGGACGACUUGCAGUGGUUGGUUCUCUUUUGCCGUCACGUGGGUCCUGGGGACCAAACCCGGGUCUCCAGGCUUUACGACGGUGCUGCUGGCAGCGGUCCGUCUUGCAGGCCCCUGCGCCGUUGUUUCAGAUGGAGCAAGUGUGUACUGUGUGUGCAUUUGGCCGAAGGAGACUCUGUACUGCCUUCUCUGGACAGGGCUGAGCUGGGGAGGGUCAGGGCGUCCAAACACUGGCCCCCUUGGCAUCCCCAGCACCCCUCUGGGUCUUUGCCUAGCUGGUUCCUCCCUGUCCUUUCUACCUGCUCCCUGAGUCCAUCCCCACAAGGCCUCUUCAACCUCCUCUGCCUCCACACCCAGCUCCUCCUUAGUGGCCCUUACCCUGCCAGCCUGCUCACUCCGCGGCAACCUCACACAUUGCAGACUACUGCUCUCUCCCAGAGUGCCAGUGACAGAGGCCGAAGGGACACAGAUGUGGCUAGGGGGACUGUGGUCCUGCCUCAGCAGCCCGCUCUGCCUGCCCCACACUGACUCAAGACAGCCCUUCCUCAUGGCAACCAAAGGCUGGCUGCAUCCAUCACCCAAGAGGCAGCUCCCCCAUGCUGACUGUAAACAGCUAGUAGCUUCCUGAAGAGUAAAAUAAAUUGUUUUAACAGCAGAGCAGUUCCCUUCUCGGUACAGCUAGAGGCCGCUCCCCAGGAGCUCCCAUGCCAGGCUGGAAGGCCUUAAGCUGCUCCAGCCUGGACAACUGUGGAGAUCACAGAGGUAUCAGGCUUGAAAUAGAGGGUCGCAUUUUCCUCCAGGGCAUGACAGGUCCCACUCAAUCCCUUACUGGAACUUCAGCCAGGCCGAGGGAGCUUAAGCCCAUCUCCUACUUGCAACUCAAGGAUCUGGCCCCAUGUCUAAGCACUGUGGGAUAUGAGGGCGUUUUCAGAACCUGUGCUCACCCAGCCAAGCUCUGCCUUGAGGCCCAUGCUGCAGAGCCCCACUGUGCCCCCCAGCUCCUGCCAGCUACACAGUGGGCAUGGCCCCUCACAGACCCCUUCCCAGAGCCAGGAACUAGCAGCCACCCUUCGACUAUCUACCAGGAACCAAUUUGUUAGUAUUUCACAGCCAGCUCUACCCACCUAAAACCUCUCCUGUCCUUGCUGUGAGGUCCACAGCAUGUUCUAAGCAUGUAUGUGUCUGUGAGUGUACUGACAAUGGCAUGCUUGUCUGUGCUCUGACUUUACAUAUAUACAGUAUUUCUGCAAACAAGCUGCUUUUAUGUAUACAUGUAUGCACACAUGCAUCUAUGUAUACUGCUUUGAUGCUUAUGGGUACACGUGUCUAUGAGUAUGCUGCACUUGUGUACAAACGUAUAAGCGUGUGUGCAUGUGGGCAUGUGUGUACAUGAUUGCCUGCUAUCCCAUGUGUCUACCUUUCUGAGCUAACAUAAGCACCUUCACCUCCAUUUUGGUCUCUGGACCUGACGUUUCCCCCUUCCCCCACCCAGAGAGUUACACAGCUGUCUUCAUCUGACUCAGUACCAUUGGAAGACACAGGAGCAAUGUGUGUAUCUCUCUCACCUGGCUGUAUGACCAGCAUUCAGUGUCCUGCAUACUACCUGCCAAAAGAGGACACUUGGACCUGACAUACCAGUUGAGCUCAGAGAUUAUAUUCCUGUUACUCUGGCCUUGAAAAGGGCCCUGAAGCUGGGCAGUAGUAGAGCACGCCCUUUAAUCCCAGCACUUGGGAGGCAGAGCCAGGCAGAUCUCUGUGAGUUCGAGGCCAGACUGGUCUACAGAGUGAGUUCCAGGACAGGAACCAAAAACUACACAGUGAAAUCCUGUCUCGAAAAACAAAAAAAAAAAAAAAAAAACGAAAGAAAGAAAAGGGCCCUGAGGUGGUGCUGGGCCUCUGAUCUCCUGUCCUGUAGGUGAAGGGUGGGGUCUGGGCUAGACAGAUACCCAUGCAGUAGAGCAGACCACAUAUGACGCACUACCCACAGGAGUCAGGAGGGUGGGUCCAUGCAGCCCCCAUCCUCGCCCGGGCCUAGCCAAUGCCUCAGCUCCUUCGCCUGGCUGGUACAGCAGCCUCAGCAAGACAGGAAAUCUAUAUAACGCUGAGGGAUGCUUCCAGUGAGGUCCGACCUAUUGGUGGGUGGAGGGGGGACAAGGGUAGCUGGAACAGUGGUGUCUUGUUAAACCUAGCCCCACAUGUCUUCUGAGUGAGCUGCACAGGGCCAUCACAUGGCCAUAGCCAGGUCCCUCCCAGAUCCUUUCACUCCCAAGAGACACCAGGCACAGGACCGUGAGUUCAGGUCCUGACAGGAGCUGGUAGAAACUCCACAUCCUGGCAGGCACUGGCGCAGGAGGCCAUGACAGGGACACUUUGCUAACCCAGGAGAACCUCCCCCUUUGGCCCCCUACCCAAAGUGGUCCUUCUCUGCCCCUCACCCACAAGCAGACAGGGCUUCAAAGGCCCCUCACUGGGGCCCUUCUUGCUGCUGCUGCCUGAGGGCACAGCUCAUCUUCUUCCCAGGGGAUCCGUUGCCCUGGAUACCACCUGCACCCCCACCCUGGGCUGUCAGUGCAGAUCAGAGAGGCUCUCUCUAGCUCCCCAGGCCCCUGAGCUAAGGAUGACUGAUGGGCUCAGCAGCUUUCCUCCCCAUAUCUGCUUGCCAGAGCAUGUCUGGGGUAUUGGGGAGUGUUUGUGAAUGAAUGGAUGUAGGAAUGAAUGAAUGAGUGAAUGAAUGAAUGAAUGAAUGAGAACAAAUACCCAAAAACCUGGAACCACCCCAAGCAUGGGAAGCAGAGGUUUAGCGUUUUGUGGAUAGGAGCUCUGCAGCCCUAGCCCCAGCCUUGUAGCCAGGACGAUAGAGCACCAGGUUGGGAUGUUUGUGGCCAGGUGCCAAAGACCCACUACAUCUGUUUAUGAUGGGCCAGGGAUGCUGUAAGAACUGAGGGGAGGAGACCCAGGGGGUCACAGAAGCACCUCUGCUGUUCUCCCAGCACGUUAAGGCUGUCCCUGUCAGCCCCCUAAGGCCAGCAUCUGUGUGUGUGUAGUUUGGACCUUAGGGUUGGGUAGGAGUGGGACUCGCCAUGAAUGAACUUGAUGCAAGUCCUAGAAGCUCCUUCCACUCAGAACCUAGUAGAUUCUAGAAUUUCUAGGAAUCCAGUGACUUAGAAGAGACAAGCCCAAGUUAGUCUGGGAUCUUUCUCUGUUGCUUGAAAGCCCUCAUUUGGAGGUGUCUCAUCCCAGCUAAUACAAGAGAUGUCUGUCACUGGACACAAAUAUGGAGCCAGGAAGAACCCGAGGCUGCCAGGAGGAUUGCUCAGGCAGAAAGCUUUCUUGCUCAGGUAUCUGAGCUGGGGCAGCCAAUUUCUGUAGAUUUGAACUUCAUAAAACUGAGCCUGAGAAGUAACUGCAAGCCCCCAGGACGGGGAAGAACUGUGGGCCGUAGGGACGUGAGGAAAUGGCCACCCCAGAGGUGUGCCACCGAGUUGCCCCUGUGCUGGAAGGUCUGGUCAGAACUAAAGCCUUUGUCCCUUUCCUGCUCUGUCCUCUCAUAGCCCUUGGUCUUCCAGCCUGUCUGGUGACCAGUGUCCACUGGUACUCCUGCGGGUCAGCCUAUCUCCUUCCUCCCCGCCCCCACCCACCCAGAGCUCUGAAACAGCCCGGCACAGACACUCCCCACAGACCCAGCACCCACACGAGGGAAAUGUGGCUCCUCACACCUCACUCAAGGGACACUGGAACUCAAAGUCACCUACCCACUACCCGGGUCCUGGGUCCUGCCAUACAGAGACCCCCUCAGCCAGGCUCCCUAUCUACCCUUCUGAGCCAGCCUUCCUAGGAGCCCUGAGGCCCCCAUGUGGAGAAGGGGGAGCCUGCCGCCUCCAAAGGCAUGUUUUCAUUAGUGAAAGAUGAAUAAUUAAUGCUAUGGUGCCUUUGAAAACUGUUUUGGUUUUUGUUUUAAACGUUUUUUUCUAUGUAUAGAAGCAGCACUUCCGUUAGGCACAAAAUUUAUAUUUUAAUAAACACGACAGUUAUUUCUUCAAUCCCAGGUGCUCCCCUGGGUGGGCUGGUAUGGGGCAAUGAGACUCUGCCAUUGGGCCCACUAACUGCCAGCCCCGGCACCAACACACGAAGCAGGAGCAGAGUGCGUGGAGCAGGGAAGGACCACUCCAAUCAUGGCACAGGUGUAAAAGGCUGAGGUGCAUCCCUCGUGCCAGGCCUGGGGUGGGAGGCGUGGGUGAGCCCAGGGCACGGACGAGUUUGAGGAGGAGGCUGAGAGCCCCCUCAUAGGACCACCAAAGGCAAGGAGUGACAAGGCCAUCCUUCUGACCGUCCGUGGCUCCACAACACUCCAGUCUGGGAGUUGUCGAACACUGAUUUCUUGGCUCUUCGAGCACGUUCACAAAUCAGAUUGCUUGGUGCUUUCUCGAAGGUUAAGUCAGAAACACUUAUUCUAAAAUUGCAAGCCACAGAGAGUUUGAAGAAGACAGUCUGUUGGUGCUCUCCAAGGCCUCUCCCAGGCUGCAGCCAAGGAACUGGCAGAGAGCCAGGUCCCAGAGCCCUUCAGCUCAUCUGAGGCCAACAGUGUGCAUGUCCUUCUACCCAGCGUAUUGCCUGGACCUGGACAAGAGACUAAACACAAGAAUUAGGAUGUCUAUUCUUUUUCUUGCAAAAAAAAAAUUGUCAUUAAUUUUUUAAAGUGCGCAAUAUUGUCCUCAACAAAACACAUUAAAAAAUGAGUUGUCUGUUCCUAAUAAAUAUUUUCUAGAUUAAGUAUUUGUAAUGCUAUCAAUUAUUUAUCUCCAUAUAUGGAGAAUGCAUAAUUUGUAAUAAAAUGCAGAAAGGAUUUUAAUUUUUCUACACAAUACAUGAAAUUGAGUUUUUGACUAAUACAUGAAUAAAUUGACUCUAAUCCCUUCC